ACUCAAAUGAAUUGACGGGGACUUGCACAAGCGGUGGAUCAUGUGGCUUAAUUCGUCGAUAAGCGAAGAACCUUACCCGGGCUAGAAACCAAGCUGCAUCCAACCCGAAAGGGAUGGAGCCUUCGAGGGUGCUUGGCAGGUGAUGCAUGGUUGUCGUCAGUUCGUGGCUUGAGCUGUUCCCUUCAGUGGGGUAACGAACGCAACCCUUGUUGUCUGUUAUAUAUGUCAGGCGAGACUGCCCCCUCACGGGGGAGGAAGGUGAGGAUGACGCCAAAUCAGCAUGUCCCUUGAUGCCCGGGGCUGCACACGUGAUACAAUGGUAGGUACAGAAGGACGCAAUACCGCAAGGUGGAGCAAAUCCCAAAAACCUGCCCCAGUACGGAUAGAGGUCUGCAACCGACCUCUUGAAGCCGGAAUCGCUAGUAAUCGUAGGUCAGCCAUACUACGGUGAAUACGUUCUCAAGUCUUGUACACACCGCCCGU
rnacentral:rRNA from 1 species